rnacentral:rRNA from 1 species
AGUGAACGCUGGCGGUAGGCCUAACACAUGCAAGUCGAACGGCAGCACAGGAGAGCUUGCUCUCUGGGUGGCGAGUGGCGGACGGGUGAGGAAUACAUCGGAAUCUACUCUGUCGCGGGGGAUAACGCAGGGAAACUUACGCUAAUACCGCAUACGACCUACGGGUGAAAGCAGGGGACCUUCGGGCCUUGCGCGAUUGAAUGAGCCGAUGUCGGAUUAGGUAGUUGGCGGGGUAAAGGCCCACCAAGGCGACGAUCCGUAGCUGGUCUGAGAGGAUGAUCAGCCACACUGGAACUGAGACACGGUCCAGACUCCUACGGGAGGCAGCAGUGGGGAAUAUUGGACAAUGGGCGCAAGCCUGAUCCAGCCAUACCGCGUGGGUGAAGAAGGCCUUCGGGUUGUAAAGCCCUUUUGUUGGGAAAGAAAUCCAGCUGGCUAAUACCCGGUUGGGAUGACGGUACCCAAAGAAUAAGCACCGGCUAACUUCGUGCCAGCCGCCGCCGUAA